GAUGAACGCUGGCGGCGUGCCUAAUACAUGCAAGUCGAGCGAACAGACGAGGAGCUUGCUCCUCUGACGUUAGCGGCGGACGGGUGAGUAAAACGUGGAUAACCUACCUAUAAGACUGGGAUAACUUCGGGAAACCGGAGCUAAUACCGGAUAAUAUAUUGAACCGCAUGGUUCAAUAGUGAAAGAAGGUUUUGCUGUCACUUAUAGAUGGAUCCGCGCCGCAUUAGCUAGUUGGUAAGGUAACGGCUUACCAAGGCGACGAUGCGUAGCCGACCUGAGAGGGUGAUCGGCCACACUGGAACUGAGACACGGUCCAGACUCCUACGGGAGGCAGCAGUAGGGAAUCUUCCGCAAUGGGCGAAAGCCUGACGGAGCAACGCCGCGUGAGUGAUGAAGGUCUUCGGAUCGUAAAACUCUGUUAUUAGGGAAGAACAAAUGUGUAAGUAACUAUGCACGUCUUGACGGUACCUAAUCAGAAAGCCACGGCUAACUACGUG
rnacentral:rRNA from 1 species